rnacentral:rRNA from 1 species
AUUGAACGCUGGCGGCAGGCUUAACACAUGCAAGUCGAGCGGAGCGAGGGUGCUUGCACCUUAGCUUAGCGGCGGACGGGUGAGUAAUGCUUAGGAAUCUGCCUAUUAGUGGGGGACAACAUUCCGAAAGGGAUGCUAAUACCGCAUACGCCCUACGGGGGAAAGCAGGGGAUCUUCGGACCUUGCGCUAAUAGAUGAGCCUAAGUCGGAUUAGCUAGUUGGAGGGGUAAAGGCCUACCAAGGCGACGAUCUGUAUCGGGUCUGAGAGGAUGAUCCGCCACACUGGGAAUGGGACACAGCCCAGACUCCUACGGGAGGCAGCAGUGGGGAAUAUUGGACAAUGGGCGGAAGCCUGAUCCAGCCAUGCCGCGUGUGUGAAGAAGGCCUUUUGGUUGUAAAGCACUUUAAGCGAGGAGGAGGCUCUUAAGGUUAAUACCCUUGAUGAGUGGACGUUACUCGCAGAAUAAGCACCGGCUAACUCUAUGCCAGCCGCCGCAGUAAGAC